rnacentral:rRNA from 1 species
UCCUACGGGAGGCAGCAGUAGGGAAUCUUCCGCAAUGGACGAAAGUCUGACGGAGCAACGCCGCGUGAGUGAUGAAGGCUUUCGGGUCGUAAAACUCUGUUGUUAGGGAAGAACAAGUGCUAGUUGAAUAAGCUGGCACCUUGACGGUACCUAACCAGAAAGCCACGGCUAACUACGUGCCAGCAGCCGCGGUAAUACGUAGGUGGCAAGCGUUAUCCGGAAUUAUUGGGCGUAAAGCGCGCGCAGGUGGUUUCUUAAGUCUGAUGUGAAAGCCCACGGCUCAACCGUGGAGGGUCAUUGGAAACUGGGAGACUUGAGUGCAGAAGAGGAAAGUGGAAUUCCAUGUGUAGCGGUGAAAUGCGUAGAGAUAUGGAGGAACACCAGUGGCGAAGGCGACUUUCUGGUCUGUAACUGACACUGAGGCGCGAAAGCGUGGGGAGCAAACAGGAUUAGAUACCCUGGUAGUCCACGCCGUAAACGAUGAGUGCUAAGUGUUAGAGGGUUUCCGCCCUUUAGUGCUGAAGUUAACGCAUUAAGCACUCCGCCUGGGGAGUACGGCCGCAAGGCUGAAACUCAAAGGAAUUGACGGA